rnacentral:rRNA from 1 species
CCCUUAGAGUUUGAUCAUGGCUCAGGAUUAACGCUAGCGGCAGGCCUAAUACAUGCAAGUCGAACGGCAGCGGGUCCAGCAAUGGAUGCCGGUGAGUGGCGCACGGGUGCGUAACACGUAUGCAAUCUACCCUUGACUGGGGGAUAGCCCCGAGAAAUCGGGAUUAAUACCCCAUACGAUUAUGAAGUGGCAUCACAUUAUAAUCAAAGCUCCGGCGGUCUUGGAUGAGCAUGCGCGACAUUAGCUAGUUGGCGAGGUAACGGCUCACCAAGGCUUCGAUGUCUAGGGGUUCUGAGAGGAUUCACCCCCACACUGGUACUGAGACACGGACCAGACUCCUACGGGAGGCAGCAGUAAGGAAUAUUGGUCAAUGGACGCAAGUCUGAACCAGCCAUGCCGCGUGAAGGAUGACGGCCCUACGGGUUGUAAACUUCUUUUGUACGGGAAAAAACCACCGGUCGUGUACCGGUGCUGAUGGUACCGUAAGAAUAAGCAUCGGCUAACUCCGUGCCAGCAGCCGCGGUAAUACGGAGGAUGCAAGCGUUAUCCGGAUUCAUUGGGUUUAAAGGGUGCGCAGGCGGAAUGAUAAGUCAGUGGUGAAAUCCUACGGCUCAACUGUAGAACUGCCAUUGAUACUGUCGUUCUUGAGUACACUUGGAGUGGGCGGAAUGUGUCAUGUAGCGGUGAAAUGCUUAGAUAUGACACAGAACACCGAUCGUGAAGACAGCUCACUAAAUUGUAACUGACGCUCANGCACGAAAGCGUGGGGAUCAAACAGGAUUAGAUACCCUGGUAGUCCACGCUGUAAACGAUGAUCACUCGAUGUUGGCGAUACACUGUCAGCGUCUAAGCGAAAGCAUUAAGUGAUCCACCUGGGGAGUACGGCCGCAAGGUUGAAACUCAANGAAUUGACGGGGGCCCGC